UUCUUAUCAAGAGAGACGGAGGGAAUGGCCCGAUGAAGUCUCAGCAACCAGCCAUUAUUGGUCAGGUGCUAAUUCCACCAAGCUGAAGCUUGGAAGAUAAGAA
rnacentral:ncRNA from 2 species